CUCCUACGGGAGGCAGCAGUGGGGAAUAUUGGACAAUGGGCGCAAGCCUGAUCCAGCCAUGCCGCGUGAGUGAAGAAGGCCUUAGGGUUGUAAAGCUCUUUCACCGGUGAAGAUAAUGACGGUAACCGGAGAAGAAGCCCCGGCUAACUUCGUGCCAGCAGCCGCGGUAAUAC
rnacentral:rRNA from 1 species